rnacentral:rRNA from 1 species
GACGAACGCUGGCGGCGUGCUUAACACAUGCAAGUCGAACGGAAAGGCCCUGCUUUUGUGGGGUGCUCGAGUGGCGAACGGGUGAGUAACACGUGAGUAACCUGCCCUUGACUUUGGGAUAACUUCAGGAAACUGGGGCUAAUACCGGAUAGGAGCUCCUGCUGCAUGGUGGGGGUUGGAAAGUUUCGGCGGUUGGGGAUGGACGCGCGGCUUAUCAGCUUGUUGGUGGGGUAGUGGCUUACCAAGGCUUUGACGGGUAGCCGGCCUGAGAGGGUGACCGGCCACAUUGGGACAGAGAUACGGCCGAGACCACUACGGGGGAGAGCAGUGGAGAAUUUUGCAAAAUGGGCGGAAGCCUGGUGCAGCAACGCCGCGUGCGGGAUGACGGCCUUCGGGUUGUAAACCGUUUUCGCCUGUGACGGAGCGUGAGUGACGGUAAUGGGUAAAGAAGCACCGGCUAACUACGU